GAUGAAGAACGUAGCGAAAUGCGAUAAGUAAUGUGAAUUGCAGAAUUCAGUGAAUCAUCGAAUCUUUGAACGCACAUUGCGCCCCCUGGUAUUCCGGGGGGCAUGCCUGUCCGAGCGUCAUUACAACCCUCAAGCUCAGCUUGGUAUUGGGCCCCGCCGACCCGGCGGGCCCUAAAGUCAGUGGCGGUGCCGUCCGGCUCCGAGCGUAGUAAUUCUUCUCGCUCUGGAGGUCCGGUCGUGUGCUCGCCAGCAACCCCCAAUUUUUUUCAGGUUGACCUCGGAUCAGGUGGGGAUACCCGCUGAACUUAAGCAUAUCAAUAAGCGGAGGA
rnacentral:misc_RNA from 1 species